UUUUUUUGUGGAUAAAUUUAAGAUUUGGCCUGCCCAGUGAGUAUUUUAACGGCCGCAGUAUAUUGACUGUGCUAAGGUAGCAUAAUCAUUAGUUUUUUAAUUGAAAGCUAGAAUGAAGGGUUGGAUGAAAAAAUUUCUGUCUCUGUAAUAUUAUCAUAGAAUUUUAUUUUUAAGUUAAAAAGCUUAAAUUUAAUUUAAAGACGAGAAGACCCUAUAGAGUUUAAUAAUUAAUUAAAAGUAUAUUUUUUAGUAUUAAAAUAAUAGGUUUAUUUUUUUAUUUGGUUGGGGUGAUUUAAAAAUUUAUGAAACUUUAAUUUUAUUUAACUAUUAAUUUGUAAUUAAUUGAUCCUAAAAGUUAGAUUAUAAGAUUAAGUUACCUUAGGGAUAACAGCGUAAUUUUAUUUGAGAGUUCAAAUUAAAAAUAAAGAUUGCGACCUCGAUGUUGGAUUAAAA
rnacentral:rRNA from 1 species